UAUACGAUGAAGAGUUUGAUCCUGGCUCAGGAUGAACGCUAGCGGCAGGCUUAACACAUGCAAGUCGAGGGGUAUAGUUCUUCGGAACUAGAGACCGGCGCACGGGUGCGUAACGCGUAUGCAAUCUACCUUUUACAGA
rnacentral:rRNA from 1 species